AGCACCACAACAGGUGGAGCCUGCGGUUUAAUCGGACUCAACGCCGGGAAACUCACCAGAUAAGACAGCUGAAUGAUAGUCGGGCUGAAGACUCUACUUGACUAGCUGAGAGGAGGUGCAUGGCCGUCGUCAGUUCGUACUGUGAAGCAUCCUGUUAAGUCAGGCAACGAGCGAGACCCACGCCAACAGUUGCCAGCUCGUCCUCCGGGAUGGUGGGGACACUGUUGGGACCGUCUCUGCUAAAGAGGAGGAAGGAAUGGGCAACGGUAGGUCAGCAUGCCCCGAAUUAUCUGGGCUACACGCGGGCUACAAUGGGUGGGACAAUGGGUAUCGACACCGAAAGGUGAAGGCAAUCUCCUAAACCCAUCCGUAGUUCGGAUUGUGGGCUGCAACUCGCCCACAUGAAGCUGGAAUCUGUAGUAAUCGUGUCUCAAAAUGGCACGGUGAAUAUGUCCCUGCUCCUU
rnacentral:rRNA from 1 species